rnacentral:rRNA from 1 species
CAGCAGCCGCGGUAAUACAGAGGGUGCGAGCGUUAAUCGGAUUUACUGGGCGUAAAGCGUGCGUAGGCGGCUUCUUAAGUCGGAUGUGAAAUCCCUGAGCUUAACUUAGGAAUUGCAUUCGAUACUGGGAAGCUAGAGUAUGGGAGAGGAUGGUAGAAUUCCAGGUGUAGCGGUGAAAUGCGUAGAGAUCUGGAGGAAUACCGAUGGCGAAGGCAGCCAUCUGGCCUAAUACUGACGCUGAGGUACAAAAGCAUGGGGAGCAAACAGGAUUAGAUACCCCCGUAGUCCCUGUCUCUUAUAC